GACGUAGGGCGCGAGCGUUGUCCGGAUUUAUUGGGCGUAAAGAGCUCGUAGGCGGCUUGUCGCGUCGUCCGUGAAAACCUGCGGCUCAACUGCAGGCUGGCGGUCGAUACGGGCAGGCUGGAGUUCGGUAGGGGAGACUGGAAUUCCUGGUGUAGCGGUGAAAUGCGCAGAUAUCAGGAGGAACACCGGUGGCGAAGGCGGGUCUCUGGGCAACAACUGACGCUGGAG
rnacentral:rRNA from 1 species